rnacentral:rRNA from 1 species
UACGUAGGGGGCAAGCGUUGUCCGGAAUCAUUGGGCGUAAAGAGCGUGUAGGCGGUUUGGUAGGUCCGCUGUGAAAACUCGAGGCUCAACCUCGAGACGUCGGUUGAAACCGUAUGGCUAGAGUCCGGAAGAGGAGAGUGGAAUUCCCGGUGUAGCGGUGAAAUGCGCAGAUAUCGGGAAGAACACCCGUGGCGAAGGCGGCUCUCGUGGGACGGUACUGACGCGUGAGACGGCGAAAGCGUGGGGAGCGAACAGG